UACGGGGGGAGCAAGCGUUGUUCGGAUUUACUGGGCGUAAAGGGCGCGUAGGCGGCCACUGCAAGUCGGUUGUGAAAUCUCCGGGCUUAACCCGGAAAGGUCAAUCGAUACUGCAGGGCUAGAGUGCAGAAGGGGCAACUGGAAUUCUCGGUGUAGCGGCGAAAUGCGUAGAUAUCGAGAGGAACACCUGCGGCGAAGGCGGGUUGCUGGGCUGACACUGACGCUGAAGCGCGAAAGCUAGGGGAGCGAACGGG
rnacentral:rRNA from 1 species